rnacentral:misc_RNA from 1 species
GAUGAAGAACGCAGCGAAAUGCGAUACGUAAUGUGAAUUGCAGAAUUCAGUGAAUCAUCGAAUCUUUGAACGCAUAUUGCGCUCUCUGGUAUUCCGGAGAGCAAGCUUGUUUGAGUAUCAGUAAACACCUCAACUCCCUUUUCUUUUUUGAAAUUGGAGCUGGACUUGAGUGAUCCCAACGCUUUCUUCCAAGAAAGUGGCGGGUUGCUUGAAAUGCAGGUGCAGCUGAACUUUUCUCUGAGCUAUAAGCAUAUCUAUUUAGUCUGCCUAAAAAACAGAUUAUUACCUUUGCUGCAGCUAACAUAAAGGAGACUAGUUCUUGUGCUGACUGAUGCAGGAUUCACAGAGACAGCUUCGGCUGACUUUGUAAACUCGAUCUCAAAUCAAGUAAGACUACCCGCUGAACUUAAGCAUAUCAAUAAGCGGAGGA